UACAGAGGGUGCAAGCGUUGUUCGGAAGUUACUGGGCGUAAAGCGUGCGUAGUCGGUAUUGAGAGUCACGGGUGAAAUCCCAGGCUUAACCCUGGAACUGCCUGUGAGACCUCAGUACUAGAGUGUGAGAGGGAUAGUGGAAUACCCAGUGUAGCGGUGAAAUGCGUAGAUAUGCGGAGGAACACCGAUGGCGAAGGCGGUGGUCU
rnacentral:rRNA from 1 species